AGAGGUAGAAAACAGAAAACAUCCUCAGCAACAGAACCCCUUCCCUCCCACCUACCCAGCCUGUCAAAGGGCACGAGGACAGCUGCAGCACCCACGGAAGAUGAAUCCCAGACUUGGGUACCCUGCAGCCACGGGAAGAAGCGAAAAAAUGCAAUUCAUUCAGCUCUCGGGGGGAAACCGAAAGGCCAGGUGAUUCAUCCUCAAGUUCAGGCUCACCACCCAGCUCGCCUGUGAAGGCCCCACAACUAGCUGGAUCUCACCUCCCUCUGCAAGAGUGCUUCAAUCGAACAAGCCUGAAUGCUGGAGUCAGAGAGAGCGAUGUCCACAGCCUGACCCUGCAACUACUGGUGUAACCUGAGGUGAAUCAUUUCUGCCUGCGCUCUGGGGCUCUGCCUCCAUGCCUUUUACCUACUUUCAUAACCGUACCCUGGUUUUCCUUUGAGGAACCAUUCCCACAUCUCAGUCCACAAGAUUCAGGUGGGGGAAAUCCCACCCCUGACACCAGCCCAGUAUCCUAGGUGCUGGGCACAAUUGGCUCCAGGGUGGGCAUGAGACCAAGCCAGGUCCAUGAGAAGCUUCCCCAGGCAGUCUCUCCUUCUGAGUUUGUGGGUGCCAUACUGCAAGAACCAUGUACUCCUGGAGCUGCUGAGGAAGACCUCAACAGACCUCAAUAGCUGAGCCCCCGGAUUCAGCUAUGCCUGAUGCCAUGCUGCUCCAACAACUUUCUAGUACAAGGGGCCAUAAAUAUCCAGUCCCUCCUUUUUGUUGUGACUUUCCAACUAGUUGGAGUUGUACAUUGGUUAUUAUAACCAUAAGUCUGGUUAUGCAGAAACUGAUCCCCAGAGGCAUGAUGUCCGAGGGGAAAAUUCCUGAAAUACAGGAUUGGCUGGGCUGAGGUCAGGUGGGGCAGUGAGGACUUUGCCAUCUCCAAGCUAAGAAACUGGAAUUCCAGAUAGACAGCAGCAGCACUACCGGCUGGAAUGCAGCCUAUUUUGUCUUGAGGUGAGACCUUGGGCAUGUGGUGGAACACUUCAGGAUACUGGCCUAUGCCGGAUGCUUCUUGGGGCCCAUGCUAAGCCCUAUAAAAAUAAGCCUUACAAGCAGCACUCCUGGCAGCCUCUCCGAAUAAGAAAGCUUUGUCUGUAUAAAACAAUGCAAGACAGCUGAGAGUGAAGUCAGAUAAAUGGAGUUGAAAAUUCUCUGUCCUUGCUGAAGGCAGUGCCAGAGGAGACAGGGGGACCAGAUUCUAUUAGGAGACAAGGCUGGAAAGGCCUGAAUCCCUCCCCAUGCAAACCUCACAAGGACCCCCUGCUGCAGCUCUCACUGCACUGCGAGAGAGCCAGGGGUGGGUGCCUGAGAAGAGCCCUGAGGCCUGCUGCUGAGCGACAGACCCUUGAGGCCUGGAUCUAGAUCCAUGGACUUGAAGUCAACACCAUCUUUAUCUCUAGGUUCUCACCCAUGAAGAUGAUGCAAUGGCAAUUGCCCAAAGGCUUAUUACUACAGAGUUUUAAGGAGCUGUAGAGGCAGACAGACCCCAAACCUGGCAAACAAGCCCUUGCACUGUUCAACCUAUCAGGUAGGCUCAAGUGUUCCACUCCCAUCAGGGGGUGGGCUGCCCAGAAGCAGCAGCCCAGAGGGGACUCUUCACAAAUGGCCUUUUCUGGUGGCCAAAAGGCCAAGAGUCAAGGCAGAGCUUCCCAUGGGACAGAACUAGAGACAGCCAUAUGGCCGAGACACCAUGGCCAGGCAGGAAGUCUGCCAUACUGCCCCAAUGAGCCAUGGCAGGAGCAGCAGACCAGCCACUCUGGGGUCUUCCAAACAGCUGCUUCCCCUCUAGCUGCAUCCCUCCAGGAGCAUGCUUUGCUCACCCACCUGCCACUCCCUCAAAGGAAGUGACCCUAACUUGGCAUUCCCAGCAGGUGUUUGCUGAAUCAACUGCUGACAAAUUUUACUUCCUCCUGUGGGAGGUGGGCCAGGAGCCUUGGGGGAUACAACUGCAAGAGGUCAGACGCUCGGUGGAGGAACAUACUGACCCCUAACUGGGUAGAAUGGACGUGCAUACUGAGCUGAGGUCCAAGUGAGCUGGGAGGAGGGAGACGAUGUUGCAGGCUGAACAACCAAGGGAAGCUCUCAGCACAGGACACACUGAACUGUGUCGGAGGAGAAUGUAAGGAAACAGCUUUGUGCAGAGUGAAGAAAAAAGGCAAGGACAAUGUCCCAAGAAGAAGUGAAGGGAAGAACUUCACAGAUUAUGUUGGACACCAGGAGCAGACCUCAUUAGGCAGACAGGUGGGGCUUCAGGAAAGGAGAGAGGGAGAUUGGUUGAGGGUACAAAAGAAAUGACCACCUGUACUCAAGAGGCUUGGAAUUCAGUGGAAGACAGGGCUCACAGCCAUGAGCACAUGGAGUCAAAUGCAGAGGGUUCUGCCAAGGGAGUGGGCAGCACUGCAGACAGGCCAUCCUAGAAGAGCCUUGAAACCAAAGCAUUCUAGAUUAUUUUUGUUUUUCUGAGACGGAGUCUUGUUCUGUCACCCAAGCUGUAGUGCCAUGGUGUGAUCUCGGGUCACUGCAACCUCCGCCUCCCAGGUUCAAGCGAUUCUCCAGCCUCCCAAGUAGCUGGGAUUACAGGUGCAUGCCACCAUGACCAGCUAAUUUUUUGUUCUUUCUUUUUUUUUAGUAGAGACAGGGUUUCACCAUGUUGGCCAGGCUGGUCUCAAACUCCUAACCUCAAGUCAUCCACCCGCCUCGGCUUCCCAAAGUGCUGGGAUUACAGGCAUGAGCCACCGCACCCAGCCUAGAUUAUUUUUUAUUUUAUUUAUUUAUUUAUUUAUUUAUUUAUUUGAGAUGGAGUCUUGCUCUGUCACCCAGGUUGGAGUGCAGUGGUGCGAUCUCGGCUCACUGCAAGCUCCGCCUCCCGGGUUCAUGCCAUUCUCCUGCCUCAGCCUCCUGAGUAGCUGGGACUACAGGCACCUGCCACCAGACCCAGCUAAUUUUUUGUAUUUUUAGUAGAGAUAGGGUUUCACCUGCAUUAGCCAGGAUGGUCUUGAUCUCCUGACCUCGUGAUCUGCCCACCUCGGCCUCCCAAUGUGCUAGGAUUACAGGCGUGAGCCACCACGCCCGGCCUGAUUAUUUUUAAUACAGAGUAAAUGGAUGAUGUUCCCUUUUUACCAAACAAACAAGAAUGGUAAUGGAGCUGUUUCAUCUGAAUAUAUAUCUGUCACCUGCACCUGGAAUCGGCUGGGAACAUUUCCUUUCCAGGGUCUUCCCCUGAUCUGACAUGUUUGGUCAGGGGUCCGUAGGCUGGCGGAAGUUACAAAGGGGCCAUGGCAGGGCCUGGGGAAUAGGGUAGGAGAGGAGUGGGCUUCCACUCUAGACCAAGUUGAUGGAUGUUAGGUUGAAAUAUAAAAGCAAAUUUUCUGAACAACUCGUCCACAAAUACCCAAAAACAGCCCUGGGAAAGCAAAUGCCAAGAAAAUGGCUGCAGGGCUUCACCAGGGCUGUAGCCCCUACUCAAGCCAGGGCUGAAGGAGGCCCAGAGAGGAGAAAGUCCUCAUCUGUCUGACCCAUCUUGGAGGCAACUGUAAUCUGCCUCCCAGCACCCUCUGGUGGGCUCCUCUGUUACAGGUGGGACACAAGCUUUAGAGACAUCCAUCUGGCCACCAAUGCUACUUAUAGGCUGCGUGAACUUCCUCAGCUUCUUCAUCCUUAAAAUGGCCACCUCCCAUUUACAGAGUAGAGAUGAAGGUUAACCAUCAGUCAACAAAUAUUUAUUAAACAAGUGUUCCAGGGCAGUGUCUCACCAACGGUAAUGUGCGUGUACAUCACCUGGGAAAGUUGUAAGGUGUAGAUUCUGAUUCAGUGAGUUUGGGGAGGGCCCCUGCAAGCUCCUGGGUGGUGCACAUGUGAUCAUCCUGCUUCCCCCCAUCCCCCUACAUGCACAUACAUCAGAGACAUACAUCAGAGGCUCAGCUUCCAGAGGGAUGGGUCUGUACCCCAUGUUUCUGGGAAUGCCACCAAAUAUCAGGUAUACCAGAGGAGCUCAGGAAAUUGGUACUGGGGAAAUGAAGAAUCAAACAGGGGAUUCUGACAGGCAGGGGAGGCUCUGUCCAGGGCCAUAGGUGACUUGGGAGCAGCUGACCACAGAACAGGGCAUUACUGAGCAACAGGUCAAUAUGAUGACUUCUCUGCAGCCAGGAGCAGCUGAAGGCAGGACCAGGGAAGAGGUGAUUCUUCUUCCAGAGCCUCCAGCAGGGCCCAGCCCACCUCCCAGGUGCUACCAAGAGGCCCUAAAAUCCAGUCUCCUACUCCUGGCUGGACCUGGUCAGUCUGAGCACAUGUGUGACUCAAAUGUUAGGGGACCAGGAAUGCUGGUGGCUGGGCACAGACCA
rnacentral:lncRNA from 1 species